GUUUUAUUUCUCUACAUGCAAUGAAGGAUGUCACAUCUUUGAACUUGCUAUGUUAUUUAGACAUCGGUUGGUAUCUACUAUAGUACGUAUGCUUACGCAAAUGUAUUUGUUCAAAAAAAAGCUGUAAUUUGGUAAUAGUCUUUUUUUAACAUCCAGGUUCAUCCUCUGGACGAAGGAGGUUGUCACCCACAGAUUAAGGUCCAUGCAUAACUUGUCCUCUGGAGGAAGGAGGUUGUCACCCACAGAUUAAGGUCCAUGCAUAACUUGUCCUCUGGACGAAGGAGGUUGUCAACCACAGAUUAAGGUCCAUGCAUAAUUUGUCCUCUGGACGAAGGAGGUUGUCACCCACAGAUUAAGGUCCAUGCAUAACUUGUCCUCUGGACGAAGGAGGUUGUCACCCACAGAUUAAGGUCCAUGCAUAACUUGUCCUCUGGACGAAGGAGUUUGUCAACCACAGAUUAAGGUCCAUGCUUAACUUGUCCUCUGGACGAAGGAGGUUGUCAACCACAGAUUAAGGUCCAUGCAUAAAUUGUCCUCUGGACUAAGGAGGUUUUCAACCACAGAUUAAAGGCAGAAGUCAUUCUGUGGACUAAGGAGGUUUUCCACCACAGAUUAAAGGCAGAAGUCAUUCUGUGGAUGAAGGAGAUUGUCAACCACAGAUUAAAGGCAGAAGUCAUUCUGUGGACUAAAUGAGGUUUUCAACCACAGAUUAAAGGCAGAAGUCAUUCUGUGGACUAAGGAGGUUUUCAACCACAGAUUAAAGGCAGAAGUCAUUCUGUGGACUAAGGAGGUUUUCAACCACAGAUUAAAGGCAGAAGUCAUUCUGUGGACUAAAGGAGGUUUUCAACCACAGAUUAAAGGCAGAAGUCAUUCUGUGGACUAAGGAGGUUUUCAACCACAGAUUAAAGGCAGAAGUCAUUCUGUGGAUGAAGGAGGUUGUCAACCACUUGUGGUGGUGCUGUACGAGGAGUUUAUUUAUUUAUUAUCAGUCAUAUUUAUCUUGUCUUAUUUAUUACUCUUGUAUUAUGCUUAGCUGUGAGCUAGCACUCAUCCCUGAGUUGCUGAAAUACUUUCUGCAAUAGGCAAAGUGGGGAAUGCAUGCAUUGCGAUUGUAUGUGUCAGGACCUGUGGAGGGGUGUUACUCACCAUGUGGGGAAUGAACACACAUGGACAACUGGGACAUUGUGAUCUUCCUGGGGGACAAACACACCAAGGAAUGGAUCACAAAGGGCUCUCACAGACAUCGUCCUCAACACACGGUGCCUGACACAGACAUCGUCCUCAACACACGGUGCCGGAAGAAGCUUCGUAAAUACCUCAACUUCAGGAGGGUUACGUAUUUUCUCAAGAAUCCUUCCCCCUAUUUAGCAUUUAGAAUCCUUCCCCCUAUUUAGCAUUUAGAAUCCUUCCCCCUAUUUAGCAUUUAGAAUCCUUCCCCCUAUUUACAAUUAGAAUCCUUCCCCCUAUUCAAAUCAAAUGUAUUUAUAUAGCCCUUCGUACAUCAGCUGAUAUCUCAAAGUGCUGUACAGAAACCCAGCCUAAAACCCCAAACAGCAAGCAAUGCAGGUGUAGAAGCACGGUGGCUAGGAAAAACUCCCUAGAAAGGCCAAAACCUAGGAAGAAACCUAGAGAGGAACCAGGCUAUGUGGGGUGGCCAGUCCUCUUCUGGCUGUGCCGGGUGGAGAUUAUAACAGAACAUGACCAAGAUGUUCAAAUGUUCAUAAAUGACCAGCAUGGUCGUAUAAUAAUAAGGCAGAACAGUUGAAACUGGAGCAGCAGCACGGUCAGGUGGACUGGGGACAGCAAGGAGUCAUCAUGUCCGGUAGUCCUGGGGCAUGGUCCUAUGGCUCAGGUCCUCCGAGAGAGAGAAAGAAAGAGAUAAUUAGAGAGAGCAUAUGUGGGGUGGCCAGUCCUCCUCUGGCUGUGCCGGGUGGAGAUUAUAACAGAACAUGACCAAGAUGUUCAAAUGUUCAUAAAUGACCAGCAUGGUCGUAUAAUAAUAAGGCAGAACAGUUGAAACUGGAGCAGCAGCACGGUCAGGUGGACUGGGGACAGCAAGGAGUCAUCAUGUCAGAUAGUCCUGGGGCAUGGUCCUAGGGCUCAGGUCAGUUGAAACUGGAGCAGCAGCAUGGCCAGGUGGACUGGGGACAGCAAGGAGUCAUCAUGUCAGAUAGUCCUGGGGCAUGGUCCUAGGGCUCAGGUCAGUUGAAACUGGAGCAGCAGCAUGGCCAGGUGGACUGGGGACAGCAAGGAGUCAUCAUGUCAGAUAGUCCUGGGGCACGGUCCUAUGGCUCAGGUCCUCUGAGAGAGAGAGAGAGAAAGAGAGAAUUUACAUUUACAAUUAGAAUCCUUCCCCCUAUUUAGCAAUUAGAAUCCUUCCCCCUAUUUAGCAUUUAGAAUCCUUCCCCCUAUUUAGCAUUUAGAAUCCUUCCCCCUAUUUAGCAAUUAGAAUCCUUCCCC
ensembl:lncRNA